GAUGAACGCUGGCGGCGCGCCUAAUACAUGCAAGUCGAGCGAAUGGAUUAAGAGCUUGCUCUUAUGAAGUUAGCGGCGGACGGGUGAGUAACACGUGGGUAACCUGCCCAUAAGACUGGGAUAACUCCGGGAAACCGGGGCUAAUACCGGAUAACAUUUUGAACCGCAUGGUUCGAAAUUGAAAGGCGGCUUCGGCUGUCACUUAUGGAUGGACCCGCGUCGCAUUAGCUAGUUGGUGAGGGAACGGCUCACCAAGGCAACGAUGCGUAGCCGACCUGAGAGGGUGAUCGGCCACACUGGGACUGAGACACGGCCCAGACUCCUACGGGAGGCAGCAGUAGGGAAUCUUCCGCAAUGGACGAAAGUCUGACGGAGCAACGCCGCGUGAGUGAUGAAGGCUUUCGGGUCGUAAAACUCUGUUGUUAGGGAAGAACAAGUGCUAGUUGAAUAAGCUGGCACCUUGACGGUACCUAACCAGAAAGCCACGGCUAACUACGUGCCAGCAGCCGCAGUAA
rnacentral:rRNA from 1 species